AUUGAACGCUGGCGGCAUGCUUUACACAUGCAAGUCGAACGGCAGCGGGGGAGAAGCUUGCUUUUCCUGCCGGCGAGUGGCGAACGGGUGAGUAAUACAUCGGAACGUGCCCUGUAGUGGGGGAUAACUAGUCGAAAGAUUAGCUAAUACCGCAUACGACCUGAGGGUGAAAGUGGGGGACCGCAAGGCCUCAUGCUAUAGGGGCGGCCGAUGUCUGAUUAGCUAGUUGGUGGGGUAAAGGCCUACCAAGGCGACGAUCAGUAGCUGGUCUGAGAGGACGAUCGGCCACACUGGGACUGAGACACGGCCCAGACUCCUACGGGAGGCAGCAGUGGGGAAUUUUGGACAAUGGGCGAAAGCCUGAUCCAGCAAUGCCGCGUGUGUGAAGAAGGCCUUCGGGUUGUAAAGCACUUUUGUCCGGAAAGAAAUGGCUCUGGUUAAUACCUGGGGUCGAUGACGGUACCGGAAGAAUAAGGACCGGCUAACUACGUGCCAGCCGCCGCCGUAA
rnacentral:rRNA from 1 species